rnacentral:rRNA from 1 species
UACAGAGGGUGCAAGCGUUAAUCGGAAUUACUGGGCGUAAAGCGUGCGUAGACGGUUUCGUAAGUCGGAUGUGAAAUCCCCGGGCUCAACCUGGGAAUGGCAUUCGAGACUGCGGAGCUAGGGUGCGGAAGAGGGAAGCGGAAUUUCCGGUGUAGCGGUGAAAUGCGUAGAUAUCGGGAGGAACACCUGUGGCGAAAGCGGCUCACUGGACCAUUACUGACGCUGAGGCUCGAAAGCUAGGGGAGCAAACAGG